CCAACGUGGAUAUCCUGGGAGGUCACCCCCAGGCUCUGUCCAGGCGGCACAAGGGAGCACAGGGCUCUGCCCCAUGAUGUACGGUCCCUUCCCGCAGCGUUGGAAAGAAAGCUGGGCCUUGGGUCUGCGCCUGCAUAUUCCUACAGCUUCUCAGAGUCCUUUGGACAAUGACUGAGGGGACAAACCAUGCAGGAAACAGUC